rnacentral:tRNA from 1 species
ACCUCCGUAGCUCAACGGAUAGAGCGCCCGGUUUCGGCCCGGGAGGUUCGGGGUUCAAAUCCUCGCGGGGGUGCCA